UUUCACUCACUCAGUCACAAUAGUAAAAGAUGUUUACCAUUUUUCACAGUCAAUAGCCAAAGAAAAAAUAAAAGGUAAUUACAAUUGUAAGCCAUAAUGGAAACAUGAUUAACCUAACAAUAGAAAAUAAUUACAUACAGUUUGGGAAGGUCAAGCAGUGAUGUGGUAAGUGGAAGUGCAUAUAUGCACAUUUCCAUCCACCCAGCCAGUCUAUGUCUUUUUGUUGGUGCAUUUAAUCCACUUAUGUUUAAGAAAUGACAGAAGACAGGCCCUCUGGGAUUCAUGAGCCUCUGCUGGGAUUUUCACGCCAGCCGCCAUGUUAACAUGAAGCAACAGCUGGGUUGAAGAGAGCUGAUAAAAAUAGCAACAUCAGCCCUGCGAGCAAGCUGCAUGGAAGGAGGGGAUGAAGUAUUGAAUGCAGGGUAGCAUGUUACCUUUUCUGAGUCUAGAGCUGUGUUUCUUGGGGUCCCCCCUUUUUCAGAAACGGCAGAUUGAGAUCUGUUUCCACCUAAGUGUUGCGGAGGAGGACGUGGGAAGGGGCGGGUUGCUCCCACUUCUCCUGUUCCCCACUGGUAGGCACCUGGCCCCCCGAUCGUUUCAUGGUAGAUCUUGUAAGCUGAUGGUGUAGCCCUUGAGUGAUUGAGUUCAACACUGGGAACUUGGUUUUCAGGGUUUCUAUGUGUUGCUGCAGAAACUUCCUGCUGUUACCCCAUCUUUCCAUUCAUUAAAGUUUAGCUUGCAAUUGAACAUUCUGACAUAACAUAGCUGAGAUUUUUGGCAGUAACGUUAACCAUAUUCAAGAGUUUUCUUCAGACGACGUUAAAUUUUUCAUAUCCUCAUGAACGCUUGCCACC
ensembl:lncRNA